UACGUAGGGUGCGAGCGUUGUCCGGAAUUAUUGGGCGUAAAGAGCUCGUAGGCGGUCUGUCGCGUCGGGAUGUGAAAGCCCGGGGCUUAACUCCGGGUCUGCAUUCGAUACGGGCAGACUAGAGUGUGGUAGGGGAGAUCGGAAUUCCUGGUGUAGCGGUGAAAUGCGCAGAUAUCAGGAGGAACACCGGUGGCGAAGGCGACUAUCUGGGCUGCAACUGACGCUGAGGCGCGAAGGCUAGGGUAGCAAACAGG
rnacentral:rRNA from 1 species